AUUGAACGCUGGCGGCAGGCCUAACACCUGCAAGUCGAACGAGCGGCGGACGGGUGAGUAAUGUCUGGGGAACUGCCUGAUAGAGGGGGAUAACUACUGGAAACGGUAGCUAAUACCGCAUACUAUCAGAUGGGCCCAGAUGGGAUUAGCUUGUUGGUGGGGUAACGGCUCACCAAGGCGACGAUCCCUAGCUGGUCUGAGAGGAUGACCAGCCACACUGGAACUGAGACACGUCCCAGACUCCUACGGGAGGCAGCAGUGGGGAAUAUGGCACAAUGGGCGCAAGCCUGAUGCAGCCAUGCCGCGUGUAUGAAGAAGGCCUGCGGGUUGUAAAGUACGUUCAGCGGGGAGGCGUUACCCGCAGAAGAAGCACCGGCUAACUCCGUGCCAGCAGCCGCGGUAAUUC
rnacentral:rRNA from 1 species